rnacentral:hammerhead_ribozyme from 1 species
CCGGCGUCUAAGGUAGGCUUCCACUACAAUACCUUACUGAUGAGUCCAUGAGUCCAGUAGUGAAAGCCGGGACGAAACGCCAA